AACGCUAGCUACAGGCUUAACACAUGCAAGUCGAGGGGUAACGAGAGGAAAGCUUGCUUUCCUUGUCGACGACCGGCGCACGGGUGAGUAACGCGUAUCCNACCUGCCCCCAACUAGGGAAUAACCUUGCGAAAGUAAGACUAAUACCCUAUAAUUUCCUCAGAUGUCAUCUGACGAGGAAUAAAGAUUUAUCGGUUGUGGAUGGGGAUGCGUCUGAUUAGCUUGUUGGCGGGGUAACGGCCCACCAAGGCAACGAUCAGUAGGGGUUCUGAGAGGAAGGUCCCCCACAUUGGAACUGAGACACGGUCCAAACUCCUACGGGAGGCAGCAGUGAGGAAUAUUGGUCAAUGGGCGGAAGCCUGAACCAGCCAAGUAGCGUGCAGGAUGACGGCCCUAUGGGUUGUAAACUGCUUUUAUACAGGAAUAAAGUUAGCCACGUGUGGUUAUUUGUAGGUACUGUAUGAAUAAGGACCGGCUAAUUCCGUGCCAGCAGCCGCGGUAAUACGGAAGGUCCAGGCGUUAUCCGGAUUUAUUGGGUUUAAAGGGAGCGUANGCCGUCUGUUAAGCGUGUUGUGAAAUGUAGAUGCUCAACAUCUGAAUUGCAGCGCGAACUGGCAGACUUGAGUGUGCGCAACGUANGCGGAAUUCGUGGUGUAGCGGUGAAAUGCUUAGAUAUCACGAAGAACUCCNAUUG
rnacentral:rRNA from 1 species